rnacentral:lncRNA from 1 species
AAAAAAUUGGAAUCAACAAAGCUCAAUUGACCUAGAAAUGAAAAUGCACAAGUAUGACAUCAAAUUGUGUGACACACAUUGUCACACCAUAUAUUCAUGUGCCUAAAACAGAGAUGGAAAAUGAUAAAAAUGCACAACCAAGCCUCAAAAAUCAAGCAACAUGUUAGGAAUCAGCAUAUCAAAUUUCAAAGCAAUUGGCCAAUGUAUGAGCAUUUCAC